rnacentral:rRNA from 1 species
AGAGUUUGAUUAUGGCUCAGGAUGAACGCUGGCGGCGUGCCUAACACAUGCAAGUCGAACGGACUCGUACUGAAACCUAGUGAUUUAUGAGUUAGUGGCGGACGGGUGAGUAACGCGUGGAUAACCUGCCGUAUACUGGGGGAUAACACUUAGAAAUAGGUGCUAAUACCGCAUAAGCGCACAGUCUCGCAUGGGACGGUGUGAAAAACUCCGGUGGUAUACGAUGGAUCCGCGUCUGAUUAGCUUGUUGGCGGGGUAACAGCCCACCAAGGCGACGAUCAGUAGCCGGCCUGAGAGGGUGAACGGCCACAUUGGGACUGAGACACGGCCCAAACUCCUACGGGAGGCAGCAGUGGGGAAUAUUGCACAAUGGGGGAAACCCUGAUGCAGCGACGCCGCGUGAGUGAAGAAGUACCCCGGUACGUAAAGCUCUAUCAGCAGGGAAGAAAAUGACGGUACCUGACCAAGAAGCCCCGGCUAACUACGUGCCAGCAGCCGCGGUAAUACGUAGGGGGCCAGCGUUAUCCGGAUUUACUGGGUGUAA